AUCAAACCCUAACUCUCCUUCGUCUUCCUUUUCUCUCAACCGCAGACGGAAGAUUUUCCGAUUUCCUUUUCUUCUUCUAGAUCCUCUUCUUCUUCUCUCUUAUCUUGUUUCAGUCGAUACCCUUUCAUCUUCUUCUUCUUUCGUCUUCAUUCGUUUCUCUGGAUACUCCUUGAAUCCGAGAUAUCUGCUGUGAAUCCGAGUAAUCGACCGUGAAUCUGAGGAAUCCGCCGUGUCUUCUCCGCUGUGUUUGCUCUUUGUAGUAAUUACAAUGGCUAUUACCAGAGGAGGAGCAUCUAGUUCUAGAAGUGAACCAUCUUGCGAGCUUAGAAGUCCGAAAAGACGAACAAGUUGCAGGGUAUGUCGAGCAAGAGAAGAGUUCGACUCCUAUUUUUGUCUCUGAUGAUGAGUUUCGCUUGUAUUCUGGUAUCUGAUGUUGAUGUAUAAAUCUAAGUGUUUAGGUACAACUGGUACGAUUAGGUACAACUAUGUUUCUGGGUUUAUGUUUUUUGAUUAUGUAUGAA